UCAGAUGAUUUCCCAAGCUUCCGAGAUAAUCCCAAGUUUCAGGCUUUCAGAUGAUGAUCCCAAGCUUCCGAUGAUAAUCCCAAGCCUUCAGGUGUUGUGUUCAUCUAAAUUUUAAGAGCGUUUAAGAAACAUAAAAGAGCGUUUAAGAAACAUAUUUGUUUCUUAAACAUAUCUUUUAUUUGUCUCGAGGAAGGUUUUUUACCGAUUUACUCCUGAGGGCUUGUAGCUCAGUUGGUUAGAGCGCGCGCUUGAUAAGCGUGAGGUCGGAGGUUCAAGUCCUCCCAGGCCCACCAAUUUAUGAUCGCUGAUAAAGUUUUUUUUACAAACAUUUUGGUGAUCUUUUAUGUUGCAAUCUUUCAAAAGUAUUUAAACUGUUUUAGGGGCCGUAGCUCAGCUGGGAGAGCACCUGCUUUGCAAGCAGGGGGUCGUCGGUUCGAUCCCGUCCGGCUCCACCAUCUUUAGUCAUCAUCAUCGUUAAAGAACAAUGUUUGCAAUAGAUCUAUAGUUCUAUAGUUUUUAAGUCUAUCAUCUAUUGCCUGUUCUAUUGAAAUUGUGAAGAGAAGAUAUAUUCAGACAUGUU
rnacentral:tRNA from 1 species